CCGUGAUAAGAGGAGGAGGAAGCGGGCCAGCUCUUUGCCCCCUGCUGUUCCUGCUCUUGCUCUGAAAAAGAAAGAACCCACGCUCAGGCGUCUGCUGGACACGUUAAAGAAAAGGAAAAAAAGAGAAUCAUCCGCCGGAGGAGCGAGCGGGGAUCGGAGGGAGCCGGGAGCAGCUGGGAUCGGGAUCCUCUCUCUUCCUUGCAUUGAUGGCUUCCCUGGGCUUGCCCGGACCCUCCUCCUACCACGACCUCUGCUGCUACGGGGCAGGAAUCGCAGGGAACAUCUUCGCCUUCGUGCUCUUCAUCUCCCCGCUGCCAACAUUCAGGAGGAUCGUCCGGAAUGGGUCGACGGAGCAGUUCUCGGCCACGCCCUACAUCUACUCGCUCCUCAACUGCCUCGUCUGCAUGUGGUACGCCCUCCCCUUCGUCUCCUACGGCGUCGUCCUCGUCGCCACCGUCAACACCAUCGGCGCCGCCUUCCAGCUUGCCUACACCGCCGUCUUCAUCGCCUACGCCGACGCCAAGAAAAGGCUCAAGGUGUCCGUGCUGCUGGCUGGGGUGUUCUGCGUGUUCGGCCUGAUUGUGUAUGUCAGUAUGGCGCUGUUUGAUCACAAGCCUCGGCGAACAUUCGUCGGCUAUCUCAGCGUGGCGUCCCUCAUAUUCAUGUUCGCAUCCCCUCUGUCCAUCAUUAAUUUGGUGAUCAGGACCAAGAGCGUGGAGUACAUGCCCUUUUAUUUGUCGCUAUCGAUGUCCCUGAUGAGCAUGUCGUUUUUCGCAUACGGGGCGCUUCUGGAUGACUUCUUCAUAUACGUUCCCAAUGGCAUCGGCACAGUCUUAGGUGUCAUGCAGUUGUUGUUAUAUGCCUAUUACAGUAGAAAAGGAUCGAGAGACGAAGCCAGACGGCCAUUACUAGUCACACAUACAUGAGCGUGCAAGGGAAACAAGGUUGAGUUUGAAAAGCUAUUUACUGUUAUAUGCGGCUUUCCUAUUUCUGGUUGAGUUUCCUGAUCAUGGUUGCGUCUCCAUCACACGUUUUAAGCGCCAUUUCAAUGGUUUGUGCAAACUUUGGUGUCUCGUUUGAAUUGUGUGUCACAUUCGUUAAACAAACAUGGGGGACCUCUGGGGAUAAUAUAAUGGUUGCGUCUCCAGCUCUGUUGCCACCUGCCAUAAUAUCUGUUCCCUUUAUCUGAAAGCAAGAACAACAAUAGAGUAGUUGUCUGUACAGGUAAGCAAGACUUGUAAUGUUUGCCAAGUUCACGAGUGAAGAUCUCUACCAAGUUUUAUUUUUAAAAAAUCCAAGAGUAAGAGAACUUGCGAAGCAAUAUAAUGUUUAUUGUAAGAAAUGGUGCCUUGCAACAAAAGGAGGCGGCUCAAAGCUGAUUUAGCCAAAGAAGGCUAAGAAGCGUCAACUUGUGCGAACAAAUACAUUUUAGCAUGAAUUAUAACUUGGACCAAGUUACUUGGUGGUCAAUGGUGGUGUCACUUUCUUGCAGCAAAUUGCUGUUUGAGUUUUUUUCCUUUGCACGGAAAAUUGAUGUUUGAGCAUGGCUUGCACGUUUUGUGGUUUUUCUAGAAGGCUACAGACAGAACAUGCACCGGUCAACAGAUAUACUGUAUUUCAGACGCAAUACUACUGCAUGGUCUGAACUUUUUCCUCUCCCAAAUUUCAGAUGGAUGAUUCUUAGGGCAUGUACAGUACAGCCAUCGCUGUAAGCCUACAGCCUGCCUGCAUCUCAGGGUUGAGGUUCUCUGCAUUAUUUUCCUUGUGUAAAAAGGUGGAGUAGGGCUAGUUUUAAGGUCCUCGAGUCAUUUGUUUAUAUUGUUUUUCCGGUGAGCCAUUAUUUGUUUAUUUGAUGCUAUGUACGGCGAGCAUUAAUGGAUCACUGAUGUGCAGACUUGAUGGAUGUAUCAUGUAUGUGAUCUGUACAAGUGUAGAAUACCAGUGAUACCCACUUCCACAUGAUCCCAUGCUCCCACUUGAAAAAAAAAAUCAAUUUUAAAUAUUUUCGGAAAUUCUGGAAAGAAAUAUGGUGUUCACAAAGAAUGUGUCUGCAACCCCUAAAAUUUCAGGCCCAAAUUUGAAAUGCACAUUGACAAACAAAAAAGACAAGUCCUGAUGUAAAUAGUGUCAAUUUUACUUUUGUCUUUUUGUGUCACUAUUCAUAC
rnacentral:rRNA from 1 species